GGGUCAGUAGGUUCGUCGUGCCACCGGUACGUACUGGUCUCACUGAUUCCUCCUUCCUGAAGAACCGUAAUGCCAUUAAUUUGGCGUUGCGGGGAAACAGGACUGUUACUUUGAAAAAAUUAGAGUGUUUAAAGCAAGCUAACGCAUGAAUACAUUAGCAUGGAAUAAUGAAAUAGGACGAUCGAUCCUAUUUUGUUGGUUUCUAGGAUUGACGUA
rnacentral:rRNA from 1 species